UACGGAGGGGGCUAGCGUUGUUCGGAAUUACUGGGCGUAAAGCGCACGUAGGCGGCUUUGUAAGUUAGAGGUGAAAGCCCGGGGCUCAACUCCGGAAUUGCCUUUAAGACUGCAUCGCUAGAAUUGUGGAGAGGUAAGUGGAAUUCCGAGUGUAGAGGUGAAAUUCGUAGAUAUUCGGAAGAAUACCAGUGGCGAAGGCGACUUACUGGACACAUAUUGACGCUGAGGUGCGAAAGCGUGGGGAGCAAACAGG
rnacentral:rRNA from 1 species